rnacentral:rRNA from 1 species
GUAGGGAAUAUUGGUCAAUGGGCGCAAGCCUGAACCAGCCAUGCCGCGUGCAGGAAGACGGUCCUAUGGAUUGUAAACUGCUUUUAUUUGGGAAUAAACUCCGGUACGUGUACCGGCCUGAAGGUACCAAAUGAAUAAGCACCGGCUAACUCCGUGCCAGCAGCCGCGGUAAUACGGAGGGUGCAAGCGUUAUCCGGAAUCAUUGGGUUUAAAGGGUCCGCAGGCGGUCUUAUAAGUCAGUGGUGAAAGCCUACAGCUCAACUGUAGAACUGCCAUUGAUACUGUAGGACUUGAAUUCGAUCGAAGUGGGCGGAAUGUGACAUGUAGCGGUGAAAUGCUUAGAUAUGUCACAGAACACCGAUAGCGAAGGCAGCUCACUAGGUCUGGAUUGACGCUCAGGGACGAAAGCGUGGGGAGCAAACAGGAUUAGAAACCCUAGUAGUCC